rnacentral:misc_RNA from 1 species
AAUUGCUACCGGGAGGGUGUUACAUUCUUUUCCUGUUUUUAAGAGACAUUUCUCUUUCUAGCUUUUUAGUUUUUAUGCAACUAUAUCACAUAAGUUUCUAAGGACAAUCUUCUUUGAUCUCCCUACGUAUUUUUUAUGAUGAACUACUCCCCUCACUCCAAGAACAUCUCGGAUAACAUUAGAAAUCUCUACUGCAACAUUCCAACUAAAACAUAUUUCUGACUUCUCCAAGUUGAUUUUCUGCGCUGAAGAUCUUUUAUAAGCAUGAAGAAUUUUGAGCAUAGUCUUCGCUUCUUCCUUCGUUGCUCUCCCAAAAUUCACACUAUCAUCAGCGAAAAACAAAUGGGAGAUUGAAGGGGCAUAUCUACAAUUUUUAAUUCCAUGAA